UACGAAGGGGGCAAGCGUUAUUCGGAAUGACUGGGCGUAAAGGGCGCGUAGGUGGAUUUGUGCGUUUGAUGUGAAAGUCCUGGGCUUAACCUAGGGAUUGCAUUAAAUACGGCAAGUCUAGAGCGUGAGAGGGGAAAAUGGAAUUGCGGGUGUAGAGGUGAAAUUCGUAGAUAUCCGCAGGAACACCAAUGGCGAAGGCAGUUUUCUGGCUCAUUGCUGACACUGAGGCGCGAAAGCGUGGGGAGCAAACAGG
rnacentral:rRNA from 1 species